GACGAACGCUGGCGGCGUGCUUAACACAUGCAAGUCGAACGGAAAGGCUCUGCUUUUGUGGGGUGCUCGAGUGGCGAACGGGUGAGUAACACGUGAGUAACCUGCCCUUGACUUUGGGAUAACUUCAGUAAACUGGGGCUAAUUCCGGCUAGGAGCUCCUGCUGCAUGGUGGGGGUUGGAAUGUUUCGGCGGAUGGGGAUGGACUCGCGGCUUAUCAGCUUGUUGGUGGGGUAGUGGCUUACCAAGGCUUUGACGGGUUGCCGGCCUGAGAGGGUGACCGGCCACAUUGGGACUGAGAUACGGCCCAGACUCCUACGGGAGGCAGCAGUGGGGAAUAUUGCACAAUGGGCGGAAGCCUGAUGCAGCAACGCCGCGUGCGGGAUGACGGCCUUCGGGUUGUAAACCGCUUUCGCCUGUGACGAAGCGUGAGUGACGGUAAUGGGUAAAGAAGCACCGGCUAACUACGUG
rnacentral:rRNA from 1 species